rnacentral:rRNA from 1 species
AAAGUUAAAUAAAAAACGCAGUGAACUGAAACAUCUAAGUAGCUGUAGGAAAAGAAAUCAACCGAGAUUUCGGAAGUAGUGGCGAGCGAACCCGAAAAAGCCCAAUAAAUUCCAUUGUCAAAAUAUAGGGUUGAAACCCCGUUUUAGGAAUUAUUAUUUGUGAGUACUGCGAGGCAUGUGUAACCUUGUAGGAAUAUUAGAAAACCACUUCUAAAGGCUAAAUAUUGUUUAGAAAUCGAUAGUGAAAAAGUACUGUGAAGGAACGAUGAAAAGAUUAUCUAGGUUGAGUGAAAAGAUCUUACAAUUUUUUUUCGAUAAGUAAUCAAAGUUUUUAUAAAAAAUAAUGAUGUACCUUUUGCAUCAUGGGCCAACAAGUUAAAACAUAUAGCAAGCUUAAUUUUAAAAGUAGGCGUAGAGAAAUCGAGUUCGAAAGAAUGUUAAAGUUAUUUGUUUUAGACCCGAAACCAAGUGAUCUAACUAUGAGCAGGUUGAAGUUUUUUGAAAGAAAAAUGGAAGGCCGAACCCGUAUCUGUGGCAAAAGAUUGGGAUGACUUGUAGUUAGGGGUGAAAGGCCAAUCAAACUUGGAGAUAGCUGGUUUUCCGCGAAAUCUAUUUAAGUAGAGCGUCUUUGUAUUUUCGAUAUCUGGGGUAGAGCUCUCGAUGGGUGCGGGGGGCUUCGGCUUUACCAAGCUCACUGAAACUACGAAUACGGAAUAUUUGAACAAAGGCAGACAGACUUUGGGUGCGAAGAUCCUAAGUCAAGAGGGAAACAGCCCUGAAUGCAUAAUAAGGUCUCUAAUUUCUAUUGAGUGAUAAAGGCUAAAAAACUCGAGGAUAAUCAAAAGGUAAGCUUGGAAGCAGCUAUCCUUGAAAGAAGGCGUAAUAGCCCAUUGAGUAAGAGUUUUUUAUCCGAUAAUGUAUUGAGGCUAUAUAGAAAACCGAAUUAGCAUAUUAUUUUAUAUAAUGGUAGCGGAAUGAAGUAUAUAUCUAAACAGUUAAAUUGAUAAAUUUAAUUAAGAUUUUACUUAUAAGAAUGUUGGCAUGAGUAACAAAAAAUAACGGUCAAAACAUAAUCGUUAUCACCGAAAAUCCUAGGUUUACAUAGAAAAGAACGACUUCUAUGUGUUAAUCGGUCUCUUAGGGUUACGCGAAAGUUAUACCUGAUGAGAAAUUUUUAU